rnacentral:rRNA from 1 species
CAGAGACUCCUACGGGAGGCAGCAGUGGGGAAUAUUGGACAAUGGGGGGAACCCUGAUCCAGCGACGCCGCGUGAGUGAAGAAGUAUUUCGGUAUGUAAAGCUCUCUCAGCAGGGAAGAAAGAAAUGACGGUACCUGACUAAGAAGCCCCGGCUAACUACGUGCCAGCAGCCGCGGUAAUACGUAGGGGGCAAGCGUUAUCCGGAUUUACUGGGUGUAAAGGGAGCGUAGACGGCAGCGCAAGUCUGAAGUGAAAUGCCGGGGCUUAACCCCGGAACUGCUUUGGAAACUGAGCAGCUAGAGUGCAGGAGAGGUAAGUGGAAUUCCUAGUGUAGCGGUGAAAUGCGUAGAUAUUAGGAGGAACACCAGUGGCGAAGGCGGCUUACUGGACUGUAACUGACGUUGAGGCGCGAAAGCGUGGGGAGCAAACAGGAUUAGAUACCCCCGUAGAG